rnacentral:rRNA from 1 species
GACGAACGCUGGCGGCGUGCCUAACACAUGCAAGUCGAGCGGAGGCGCCUGAAGAGCAAUCGGAGGGUGUCUGAGCGGCGGACGGGUGAGUAACGCGUGAGCGAUCUGCCUUUCACAGGGGGAUAACGCAGCGAAAGCUGCACUAAUACCGCAUGAGACCACGGUACUGAUGGUACAGGGGUCAAAGGAGAGAUCCGGUGAGAGAUGAGCUCGCGUCCGAUUAGGUAGUUGGUGAGGUAACGGCCCACCAAGCCAAUGAUCGGUAGCCGGCCUGAGAGGGUGAACGGCCACAUUGGAACUGAGAGACGGUCCAAACUCCUACGGGAGGCAGCAGUGGGGAAUAUUGGGCAAUGGGGGAAACCCUGACCCAGCAACGCCGCGUGAGGGAAGAAGGUUUUCGGAUUGUAAACCUCUGUUCUUGGAGAAGAGGAGAAGACGGUAUCCAAGGAGGAAGCCCCGGCUAACUACGUG